UGGUGAGCGACUUGACCCCCUUCUC
rnacentral:piRNA from 1 species